rnacentral:tRNA from 2 species
GCCUCAAUAGCAUAAUUGGAUAAUGCAACAGAUUUCUAAUCUGUCGAGUUCAGGUUCGAAUCCUGAUUGGGGUA